GCCCUUAGAGUUUGAUCCUGGCUCAGGAUGAACGCUGGCGGCGUGCCUAAUACAUGCAAGUCGAACGAAGAGUAUUUGUAGUAAUACAGAUGCUUCUUAGUGGCGAACGGGUGAGUAACGCGUUGGUGACCUGCCCCAAAGUGUGGGAUAACAGUCCGAAAGGAUUGCUAAUACCUCAUGUGGUCUUCGGAAUUAGAAACCGAUUUCUAAAGGAGUAAUCCGCUUUGGGAGGGGCCUGCGUCCCAUCAGCUAGUUGGUGAGGUAAUGGCUCACCAAGGCUUCGACGGGUAAGGGGCCUGAGAGGGUGGCCCCUCACAAUGGAACUGAAACACGGUCCAUACACCUACGGGUGGCAGCAGUAGGGAAUAUUGGGCAAUGGGCGAAAGCCUGACCCAGCAACGCCGCGUGUGCGAUGAAGGUCUUCGGAUCGUAAAGCACUUUUCUGGGAGAUGAGGAAGGACAGUAUCCCAGGAAUAAGCCUCGGCUAACUACGUGCCAGCAGCCGCGGUAAAACGUAAGAGGCGAGCGUUAUCCGGAUUUACUGGGCGUAAAGCGCGUGCAGGCGGUUCAGCAAGUUGGAUGUGAAAGCUCCUGGCUCAAC
rnacentral:rRNA from 1 species